CCUCUUGAUGAUGAGGAACUCGUCAGCUACAUGCUCAUCGGGCUGGACGCUGAGUGCAACCCGGUUGUUUCAGCUGUUCUGGCACGGCUGGAGCGAAUCACCGUGGGGGAGUUGUACACCCAACUCCUCACAUUUGAGC
rnacentral:snoRNA from 1 species